CUAAAUUGUCCAAUUUUAUAUCUGAUAGCUAGGAGUAGUCAUGACCUUGUAACAAAAGUAAAUGGUCUCAUACCAUACAAUCUCUUUUCUUAUACUUUAGUUUGCUUCCAUUCGUUAUAGUUCAUUCCCUAGUCUACAAUCCAAUUCUUUAGGAGGGAGUACUUGACAAUAACCAAGAUCUAAUAACAUCAUCUCAAAACCUUUUCCAAACUAUUUAGAGUUGCUACAUGAAUCAUGAUCUGCCAUUUUACUCUAUCAAGAUCCAUGGUCGCAUCUGAUUCCUAAAAUGGGAUCUCAAGCACAAGUAUAGGUUCUUCAAUUUAAAGCCUUCUACUAUGACGGCUAUCAAUAAAUUAUUGGGUUUGCACGCCAAAGGAAUCAACUAACUGCAAGUUCAGCAAAUUUCAAAAGCCCAUCCAAGGUUCAUAUGCCAUAUGCCAACGACGCUUUGCUUGAGAAACUCUUGAAAUCUUCACAGGCAUCUGGUGGAACUUCAUGAAAUUUGAGGACAAAAGUUCCUAGAAGAUGAUAGCUAAUUUUUUAUUGCUACUAAUUUUUCACAAUAGGUUGU
rnacentral:lncRNA from 1 species